GAUGAACGCUGGCGGCGUGCCUAAUACAUGCAAGUCGAGCGAACAGACGAGGAGCUUGCUCCUCUGACGUUAGCGGCGGACGGGUGAGUAACACGUGGAUAACCUACCUAUAAGACUGGGAUAACUUCGGGAAACCGGAGCUAAUACCGGAUAAUAUAUUGAACCGCAUGGUUCAAUAGUGAAAGACGGUUUUGCUGUCACAUAUAGAUGGAUCCGCGCCGCAUUAGCUAGUUGGUAAGGUAACGGCUUACCAAGGCAACGAUGCGUAGCCGACCUGAGAGGGUGAUCGGCCACACUGGAACUGAGACACGGUCCAGACUCCUACGGGAGGCAGCAGUAGGGAAUCUUCCGCAAUGGGCGAAAGCCUGACGGAGCAACGCCGCGUGAGUGAUGAAGGUCUUCGGAUCGUAAAACUCUGUUAUUAGGGAAGAACGAAUGUGUAAGUAACUAUGCACGUCUUGACGGUACCUAAUCAGAAAGCCACGGCUAACUACGUG
rnacentral:rRNA from 1 species